CCUACGGGAGGCAGCAGUGGGGAAUAUUGGACAAUGGGGGAAACCCUGAUGCAGCGACGCCGCGUGAGUGAAGAAGGAUCUCGGUAUGUUAAGCUCUUUCAGCCGGGAAGAAAAUGACGGUACUUGUCUAAGAAGCACCGGCCAACUACGAGACACCACCCGCGGUAAUACGCAGGGGGCAAGCGUUAUCCGGAGUUACUGGGUGUUAAGGGGGCGUAGACGGGACUGCAAGUCUGGAGUGAAAGGCCAAGGCGUAACCCCCGGGCUGGUGUGGAAACUGUGCGGCUCGAGUGCAGGAGAGGUAAGCGGAAUUCGUGGUGUAGCGGUGAAAUGCGUAGAUAUUAGGAAGAACACCAGUGGCGAAGGCGGCUUACUGGACUGUAACUGACGUUGAGGCUCGAAAGCGUGGGGAGCGAACAGGAUUAGAUACCCGUGUAGUC
rnacentral:rRNA from 1 species